rnacentral:lncRNA from 1 species
UGGUGACUGUAAAUGAUAAACUUUUAUUCUGAAUAUACUGUUUUUGCACAAGAUUUAACACAACAUUUUCUGGGAUUAUAAAUAUUUUUAUAACAGUAUUAUACAAAUUUUUACAAAAUGUUUUUAACAGGCUAGUUAACUUCCACAAAAAUGUCAAGAGAACAUAAUGGGGGGGUCUAUUUUUCACAAAAGCCACUUGGCCUUUUUCAGGGAUGCACAUUGAGCAUUUCAUUGAAAGAAUCCCUAAAAGCAUGAUCCAACAAUCACACAACACAACAGAAAGGACAGCUUCUCCAAGCUUCUCAACUGGCAUCUAUCCAAGACAGUGGCCCAUUACUCAGCAGAAUUUCUCUGAGAUAAUUGCUUUGAUGUGAACUAGAAAUAAGGUAGGUGAAGCAAUUGGUAAGGGCUUGUCUAAAUCUUCCAAAUUCUGUAAAUUGUCAACACUCGAUACUUUUGUUUGGUGAUAUGCUCUUUACAGAAAUGUAUAUUGAAUAUGAACAAUAUUAACAUUCUGCUAUGAGAAACAAUACAAGGUCCAGAUAAUAAUGAAAUAUUGAAAUUUGGGGCAAGUGAAAAAGUCACAAAAUCCAUUUUCUCUCGCCAGGUUAGACUCUACAUCUUUCGACAUUUUAAUGUCAACUAACAUGAUUGAUGGAAUUGCUUGAGAGUUUUAAAUUAAGACAUAGAAUUUAAACUUUGAUGAAGACAAGACAAAGAUUUAAAGGAGAUGUAAAGUUACGAGAGAGAGCAUCAAAUAAGCAAGUAACACUUGGAUUGCAAAGGUCACUUAAAAGGGGUACUGCCUAUUUGAACCCCGUAAGGCCAGUUUUAAAGUUAAUAAAAGGAAUAUUGUAUAGGAAACUUACAAAUGGCAGCAACACUGUUUUGCUCUGUUUGUUGUCCAAGUUAAUCAAUAACUCCUCAAGCAUUAGAAACAUGAAAAAAGAUUGUACUAAAAUCGUAUAAGCCCAGGACCUAAAAAUCUCUUCAAUCAAACUUGCUAACUAUGUCAUGUUAAAAACCUUUUACAAAGUGGACCACGAUUGGCGUCUGGCAGUAAUGCUGGUUGUUCACGUGAGGAGAAGAGAAAGAAAUGAUGAAUGCAAACCUCCAUCCUGUGGCUGAGGACAAAGCCAAGACUCAUUGUGACGCAGCUGCAGUGACACACUACGUUCAGCUGCGUGAGCACAGCACAAACUAAAUAUGUAAUAAAAGGUUCAAAAGCCUUUUCAUGGAUCUAUUAUACUGCUCAGUCUUUGAAAAUCAAUUUUGGGGGUGGGUGGGUACCGGGGAUCGAACUCGGGUCCUUGCGCUUGCGCAGCAGGCAGCAAAACCACUGAGCUAAAGCCCCGGCCCUGAAAAUCAAUAUUAAUAUCAGACUUUGAGAUUUCUAUCAACAGAAUUCAUAGAAAAACAGUACAUUUAAUGUAGCAACUUGGUGGAAUGAGUGCUAUUGUCUUUUGAAAAAGAGUACGCCAAACCCAGGAUGACUAGUAUUGAUUCUGGAAACAAUUUUUAGUCCAAGAGCAAGUUCUUACCCAAUUUUCUACCCUGUAAGUGGCUGUUAUGAUACAGAACUGUAAUCAAACGGAGCCCUGCCGAGGUACGCUGAGGUUAAAUGCGAUUAACACAACAAUAAUGCAGCUGAUGAAAACAUACUAUAUAAGUGACAUGGGCCAGGAAAAUAUAUUUAAUGGACUUUAAACGCAAUCUUAAGGUAGUUUGUUGUAUGCUGGAAGCAACUGUUUGUUUUAAUGUGCGCCACUUAUUUACAUAAACUAACAAUUUAUAUUUUUGAUAUCCCCUUCCCAACACUUUCAUGAUUUAAAAUUCUGCAAAAGUUAACAGUAAGAUUUAAAUAUCUAAUUAACAAACAACGUGAUUUAAACAUAUUAUAACUUGUUUUUAAAUCACUUUGGUGUUUUCUAAAACAUCAAUACAAGUUAUGAGUAGACUAGAAAAUUACAAUGCAUUAGAAAUGGUAACUGAUGUCAACUCUUAGAACAAUAGUUGGCAAAGUGAUUCCACUUCUCCCUUCCCCCAUUUUAAAUUAAAAAAAUCUUAUUAAGGAAGUGUUCACACAUGGUACUUGGGAUACAGUGGUGGUACGAGGGGAUUAUAAACAUAUGCAAAACUAAAAACAAAAAAAAAUGUAUCUUCAACAUUGCUAAAGAAUUGGCUAUGAUUUUGAUAUGUAGAAGAUAUGAAAGCAUGCUGGGUAAUGUAAAUAACUUUGAUGUUAAAAUUAUAUAUAAGAAAUUUCCCAGCAUAUGCACACACCAAAAUUUGGCAUGUUUGAAUAAAGAAAAAUGCAUUUUAUCAUAAAUAUAUCUGCAUACUUUCAGCCUUCGUAAAAUUAUGCACUUUUCCUAGAGUUACCCAUUCAUUGUUUUCGCCCUUUCUUCAAACACUGUUUUUUCCUGGAAAUAAUGUUUAAAAGCAUAAAUAAUAUUUUGAUACCAUAUUAAUCUAUAAUGAAAUAUCUGAUUUACUACACUAACCAUUUUCACUAAUGAGGCUGUAUAAAAACAAAUGUCAUUAUUCACAAUCAAGUGUUCAUGUGCAUUUGUAGAGAUUCAAGGUUUCCUAUUUGUUCAGAUUGUUACAAAACCCUCAUCAAAUGUCAUGGGAUUUUGGCCAAAUGAUCACAGCAUCGAAAAUGGAGGAAAAAAGUAGAGCCGGGAUCGUCCACCCUCCUGUGAAAUGAACAAACAGGGAACCUAGGGUGUAGCUUCACUGAGAACAUAUAUGUACUUUUCAAAAAAUAAAUGUGUUAAAUCUGAUUUAUGUACUUAAAAUAUCUGUACAUGGGUUUUCAGGCAGAAGCACGAAUCUGUAUAAAAUCCAUUAAUUCUCAUUUUGCCAUUACCUAACCCUCUCAUUCCGCAUUUACAUUGCACAGUAUAUUCAGAGUAGUUUAAUGACAUUUCUAAAGAUAACUUAAGUGCAUUUAACUGCAAGUUUCAUAUUCUUACAUGACAAUAAUGUCACUUGGGUAACUUUUCAAUAGACUACACUCAACAAUAAGAGAAAAACAAACCAAAAAGUUAAAAUAGCAGCAGGAGCAUCAUGCAAAAUACCCUUGGUGACCCAAGUUCAUUUAUCACGAGAAAAACACUUUCCCUCCCCCCAACAAGCUUCUCUUAGAGCUUUUUAAAUACCUGGCUAGCACUGCAUAACCGUACUGUGAACCAAAAGAAGGAACAUUACAUCAGAGCUUUAUAGGGCUUACAUUUAUGAGAAAAUAUGUCACGUAUUCAAAUUUCACCCUCAAGCAUCUUUAGUUUAAUAAUUUCUUAGCUAUUAUUUUCAAACUAUCAAUUCACUACCCCAUUUAAUUGGUCAUCAAUUGUGUUUUAUUUCUGGCAGAGAAGUCAUUCUGCAUAAGGCAUUUUAUUCCGGCAAAAGUUUUGUAGAAAAUUAGCCAUUAUUCAUAUUUCAGCAGCUCAGAGCACUGUGAAUUCCCUUUCCUUCUUUCUCCAUUCCUCUACAGUCAGGGAACUACUCAAAGCAGGAUUUAACGUUUAACAGAAGAAUAAAUGAAGGCAAAAAUAACUAUCCCUUUCCCCCACUUACAGAUUUUCUUGGUAAAUCUGCAGCAAGUUGAAAUUUUAGGCCAAAAUCAAGACGUCCCCUAUGACAAACAGUCGUGUGGGGAGCCCUCUGACACAUGCUCACCAGCAAUGCAACAACUCCUGUUACCCAGCGGAGCACACAGAGUCUCUGCUUGGAUGUUCUAUACCAUGGUGCAGCGUUCACAUGAGGCUGAGGGUAGACCCCCGACAUGCAGCCACUGGGGGCCCCAGGUUCUGUGUCUCAGAGAUGCCAUGGGACAGGCGCAGCUCGUGUUUGGCUGACUCCACGCGUGUCCCUACUUUAAUGUCAUCUCAGACUCCUGUUUUGGCAGGGUCUGGAGUUUAAUUCCGUGGUUUUGGUUUCAGAAGGUCACAAUAGGUAGUGUCUGCUGCCAGAUACAAGCCAGAGGAGUAGAAACUGGAGUCCGAGAACAGACCACAGGGAGGAUCUUAAUCCAGAAACACCACCACAGUCGGAAUAAUCCUCCUGUUAGAAAGGAAAGGAAAUGGGGAAAUCUUGAAAAAUAUUUAGUAAG